GUGCAGCAGGCGCGAAACUUUACAAUGUGCGAAAGCACGAUAAGGGAACUCUGAGUGCCUCCUAAGGAGGCUGUUCAGGUGUCUAAAAGCACCUGAAGGAAGGGCUGGGUAAGACCGGUGCCAGCCGCCGCGGUAACACCGGCAGCCCAAGUGGUAGCCACGUUUAUUGGGUCUAAAGCGUCCGUAGCCGGCUGGGUAAGUUCCUUGGGAAAUUUGGCUGCUUAACAGUCAAGCUUUUCAAGGGGAAUACUGCCCGGCUUGGGGACCGGGAGAGGUCAGAGGUACUCCGAGGGGUAGGGGUGAAAUCCAUUAA
rnacentral:rRNA from 1 species